AAUCAACGCUGGCGGCGUGCCUCAGACAUGCAAGUCGAACGCGAAAGUCCCCCUUCGGGGGACGAAGUAGAGUGGCGCACGGGUGAGUAACACGUAGGUAAUCUACCUUCGGAUGGGGAAUAACAACCGGAAACGGUUGCUAAUACCGCAUAAUGCAGCGGCACCUAAUGGUGACAGUUGUUAAAGCGGGGGAUCGAAAGACCCCGCGUCUGAAGAGGAGCCUGCGGCGGAUUAGCUAGUUGGAAGGUAAUGGCUUACCAAGGCGACGAUCCGUAGCCGGCCUGAGAGGGCGGUCGGCCACACUGACACUGACAUACGGGUCAGAC
rnacentral:rRNA from 1 species